GUAACAACCUUAAGUGUUUUUCCUUCUCAGUUCGUUUUGUUCUACCGCUGCAAACCACGACACGUUCCCGGACCGGAGAGCUUGUUUGGAUAUGGGAAGGACUAUUCAACUUGCCCCUAUGAAUUUAUAAAAAGUUGCUUUGCUGUUUCGAUUCGCCUAUUUGGAAGCCAUUUAUGCAGAUGAGAGAGAAUGGGUUGCUGUUCAGGACGAUGUAUGCUGAUCUUCCUCUGCACUCUCCAAGUGAUGACAGCAUUGGAGAGGCAGGCUUUUGACUUCCUUGGGUACCAGUGGGCUCCCAUCAUGGUCAACUUCCUGCAAAUAAUCAUGGUUAUCCUCAGCCUCUUUGGAACCAUUCAGUACAGGCCACGCUACGUUGUUCUAUACCUGCUGUGGACAUUACUGUGGGUGGCCUGGAAUGUCUUUGUGUGCUGUUUCUAUUUGGACCUGGGAGGCCUUUCCAAGGAGAGCGACCUGCUAUCCCUGGGUGUAUCCUCACACCUUUCAUGGUGGAAAGACAACGGGCCAGGCUGUGAUGACAGGGACCUUCCUGCCACUAGGUGGCAGAGUCUGGAGAGCCCAGAACUCACCUAUGCUCUGGGAUGCUGGCUGGAAUACCAAUACAUAGAGGUCCUACAUUGCAUCAUACAACUCCUAAUCUCUCUCUUGGGAUUCGUCUAUGCCUGCUAUAUGGUCAGCACCUUCACUGAGGAGGAGGACAGCUUUAAUUUCAUUGGUGGGGUCCAUUACCCAUCUAAAACAUCGCCGCUGUAUUUAUAGUGUACAAUUGGGCUACUAUGAGUAAAGGCUUGCAAGUGGGUUGAAAAUGACUGACAAGCAAGGAGGGCAGAAGAGGAACGACACUGGACAACACGACUGAACAAUAAUCAAGAUUAGACAAAACUAGAGCCUGCAGAACUUGCUUUUUGGAGUCUGGUGUCAGAAAAGCAGAGCAUCUCUUUAUUAUGACCAGACCUCUCCCCAUCUUUACAACCAUUGAAUCUAUAUGUUUGAUGACAUAUAGUAGUGUCACUUUGUAAAAAUAUGCAUUUACACAUACUGUUGAAAAUGGACCAAACCCUAUAAUUGUGUGUCCUACAUUAAUGUUAAUGGAAAAUUUGCAUGAAAAUUUCAGUCAUGUGCAAAUUAUCAAAGUUAUGUAUGCAGAUUUAUAGUUAGGAUUUGGACCUAUGUGAAGGUAUGAGUGUGCCUGUGUGUGUGCGUGUGUGUUCAGUUCAUACAUUAAAUUCCAGAUAGCAGAGGAAAAUAAAGACAUUGUAUUAACAAUCUUCAAUAUUGUGAUAUAAAUUAGCUAAAGUCAGUGGUUGUCAUGUAAAAAAGCAUCUUCUAAGUUUUUAGGCCUACCUCUGAAUUUUGUUUGAAUUUGCGUGCCAUUGAUGGAAAAAAGACCCUGGCUGUAUCUUUAAGUAAAAUUUGUUUGAAUAAACUGUGCUUUUC